UUUCAUUCCCCUCUUCUUUCUUUCUAUUUCCUCAACGCCGUUUAUCUCUCCUCUCUCCUUAAACAAACCCUAAAAUCAACGAGCUCCUGCUCCUUCCUUAUCUUCUUUCUCUUCUUCCUCUUUCAUGUUGUCGGCGCGUCAGUCGGUCCUAGCAACGUCGGUAGUGGCGCAAGGAGCUGGUCAAACCCACCUCUCGUCGUUUCCCCCUCCCGAAAUGAUUUUUCCUGAAGAGCAUGGGAUGGUUCUUGACGAGUUCAACCUGUCAACAGCUGUUUUCAGGAAAGUUUCAAACUGAAUUAGGAAAAAGCUAGGCUGCUGAGGUUAUAUCUAGAAAGAAAUCAACCUUGGCUAGUAAAGGAAAAUAAGCAGCAAACUAACCGAAGUCUUGAUCUUUACUGAAGGGGCUGAUGGCUCUUCUACACAAAUAUCAAUGUUUGUGUUUGACAGGUAAAACAGCAGCAACAGCCAGCACCAGGCAGGCACAGCACCACCAGACAACAGCUAACAGCCAGUAGAUAGCCAAUAGGAUUUGCAAAACCAGGCCAUAAACCAAACAGCAGCUGAAAGAGCAGGAAACAGAACUAGUAGCCUGAACCAGACCUAAGCAGCCAGAAACAGAAAGCAUUAGCAAGCAACAAUUUCUCCAGACCUUGAUUCUGUAUUUUUUUUUCUUCAGUUUUUUAAAGUGUAAUAUUACAAGUUAUUGAAGAAAAUAUAUGUGUUUUAGUAUAUUAUGAUUA